CAAAACGCAAUGAAUUGUACUAGUAAUUAAGGAACUGCCUCAAGAGAGAUAACGGUUGGUGUAAGUUAUUGGCAGGGAAUUAAUGAACUCACCAAGGAGCGGUAUUCCUGAAAAUAGUAGGGAAUGACGGGGUCGCUGCCGUUAACCAAGCACAGGUUGUUAGACCAAGAGCAUUUCAUUGAUUGAAAUGAAGAAGAGUGGUAUCGCGGAAGUUGUCCUUUCGUCUCUUCU
rnacentral:ncRNA from 1 species